rnacentral:rRNA from 1 species
CUCUGUGACUCCUACGGGGAGGCAGCAGUGGGGGAAUAUUGCACAAUGGGCGCAAGCCUGAUGCAGCCAUGCCGCGUGUGUGAAGAAGGCCUUCGGGUUGUAAAGCACUUUCAGUUGUGAGGAAGGUGGUGUCGUUAAUAGCGGCAUCAUUUGACGUUAGCAACAGAAGAAGCACCGGCUAACUCCGUGCCAGCAGCCGCGGUAAUACGGAGGGUGCGAGCGUUAAUCGGAAUUACUGGGCGUAAAGCGCAUGCAGGUGGUUUGUUAAGUCAGAUGUGAAAGCCCGGGGCUCAACCUCGGAACUGCAUUUGAAACUGGCAGACUAGAGUACUGUAGAGGGGGGUAGGAAUUUCAGGUGUAGCGGUGAAAUGCGUAGAGAUCUGAAGGAAUACCGGUGGCGAAGGCGGCCCCCUGGACAGAUACUGACACUCAGAUGCGAAAGCGUGGGGAGCAAACAGGAUUAGAUACCCUGGUAG